UACGGAGGGUGCAAGCGUUGUCCGGAAUCACUGGGCGUAAAGGGCGCGUAGGCGGCUCAUGAAGGCUGUGGUGAAAGUCCGGGGCUCAACCUCGGAUCGGCCGUGGCGACUCGUGGGCUGGAUCACUGUAGAGGCGGGUGGAAUUCCGGGUGUAGCGGUGGAAUGCGUAGAGAUCCGGAAGAACACCAGUGGCGAAGGCGGCCCGCUGGGCAGUGGCUGACGCUGAGGCGCGACAGCGUGGGGAGCAAACAGG
rnacentral:rRNA from 1 species